GGCCCUUUUCCCGAUCAGAUGUGCCUGAAACCUGCUCUGAUGGGGAGGCAGCCAUACCAUCAGCCAGAAGAAUGCCUGGCAAACACUCUGGCCUUCUCAAGAUCCCAGUUCUAAGAGCUGCAAGAGGAGGUAAAACAUCAAACGGUAGAAUGACAACAACUUUCGAAGACUUUCAAGAGUCACUGGAGGAGGUCUCACAUUUCAGCCAUGAAUGCACAUCACUUAAGGAAGAACUUUCCAGAUACCAAGAGCAAGUGGAAACGAGGGAAGAUACACGCAAUUUGGAUCAACUGUGUUGGAGAAAGGAACUUUUCCACUUCAAGAAAAAAUCUAAAACAGCAAAAUAAGUUAAAAUGCAAAUAGCACACUGCAGGGACUGUUCACUGAGAACUGGAUUUUGCGGACACAAACCAUUCUUCAUGAUUUUUUAUUCAAUAGAUAGCUUCAUUUGGAGAAAUCACAGCCUUUUAGCCUCCAGUUGUGAGAAAUACCCAAGGAGACUGUGGCCCAGUUGCACAAACAGUAUUGCCAGACCCAAGCCCUGUUUCUCUAAAUGCCAAUCUUGCGGAGAAGCAGGGUCAGGAGCAGCUGGAUGAAGACAACAGGUGAAACCGGGCAAUCUUUGCCUCCAGAUGGGAUGUGCUAGGAGCGGGCAGUAUAAACAAUGCAGUGUUGUUGCCCACAACGUUCGGAUGGCAUUGAAUCAGGAAGUAAUUAUCAGACGACUUCAGAACCCAGGCUACUGAAUAAGACAGCUGACUUGUCUUCUUCAAACAGGCAAUGUCACCAUAACUGUGACUACAAAAUGGAGGAGAGGCAUUUUUGGUUCUCAAGGACUGAAAAGAUUUUCGUCCUUUUGAACCAGAAAACAUCUCGCCUUUUUGUUGCUGUCGUUGGUGGUGGUGACACUGCCUGGUUUGUACAGGACAGCUUAGUUGUCUUAAUCUGUAGUCCACAUUUUGAGUUCUCUGAUAAUUGCCUCGUGAUUAAAUUCAUUGUAAACGUUUUGCCAAGAACACUACAUAGUUCAUGCUUUUCGCUUGCUACGGCCUCCCAUCUGCAGGGAGAGAAAGUCCCGUUUCUCCCUCACUGCUACUGUCGAAUGUGAGGACUGGUCUCUUAGGUAAGGGUCACUUAGAUCUAUCUACUGUGAACAUACCUUUUAACAUGAUGAAGCAAGUUAGUGAGUCAUGCUUUGAAAAUAUGUAAAUAUCUAGUUUUCUCACAAUCGUUCUCUAAAAACUUCACCAUCCAUUAACUGUCCCUGCUAUGUCAAUUACUAUAUUUGCAUACUACAAAUUGUCGAAUUUAAUUCUUCCUAUAUCCUUGUAUUGCUGGCAGGCAUUCUGUUAUAAGUAAGAACAUCCCCUCCUCAAAAGUUAAUUUUAGUCUGAAGUUAUUCUAGGUAAGGGUCUCUUAGGUAAGGGUCACUUAGAUCUAUCUACUGUGAACAUACCUUUUAACAUGAUGAAGCAAGUUAGUGAGUCAUGCUUUGAAAAUAUGUAUCUAGUUUUUUCACGAUUGUUCUCUAAAAACUUCACCAUCCAUUAAGUGUCCCUGCUAUGUCAAUUACUAUAUUUGCAUACUCGAAAUUGUCGAAUUUAAUUCUUCCUAUAUCCUUGUAUUGCUGGCAGGUAUUCUGUUAUAAGUAAGA